rnacentral:rRNA from 1 species
GAUGAACGCUGGCGGCGUGCCUAAUACAUGCAAGUCGAGCGAACGGACGAGAAGCUUGCUUCUCUGAUGUUAGCGGCGGACGGGUGAGUAACACGUGGAUAACCUACCUAUAAGACUGGGAUAACUUCGGGAAACCGGAGCUAAUACCGGAUAAUAUUUUGAACCGCAUGGUUCAAAAGUGAAAGGCGGUCUUGCUGUCACUUAUAGAUGGAUCCGCGCUGCAUUAGCUAGUUGGUAAGGUAACGGCUUACCAAGGCAACGAUGCAUAGCCGACCUGAGAGGGUGAUCGGCCACACGGGAACUGAGACACGGUCCAGACUCCUACGGGAGGCAGCAGUAGGGAAUCUGCCGCAAUGGGCGAAAGCCUGACGGAGCAACGCCGCGUGAGUGAUGAAGGUCUUCGGAUCGUAAAGCUCUGUUAUUAGGGAAGAACAUAUGUGUAAGUAACUGUGCACAUCUUGACGGUACCUAAUCAGAAAGCCACGGCUAACUACGUG